rnacentral:rRNA from 1 species
AACGCUAGCUACAGGCUUAACACAUGCAAGUCGAGGGGCAGCGGGAUUGAAGCUUGCUUCAAUUGCCGGCGACCGGCGCACGGGUGAGUAACGCGUAUCCAACCUUCCGUACACUCAGGGACAGCCUUUCGAAAGAAAGAUUAAUACCUGAUAGUAUGAUGAGAUUGCAUGGUAUCAUCAUUAAAGAUUUAUCGGUGUACGAUGGGGAUGCGUUCCAUUAGGUAGUAGGCGGGGUAACGGCCCACCUAGCCAACGAUGGAUAGGGGUUCUGAGAGGAAGGUCCCCCACAUUGGAACUGAGACACGGUCCAAACUCCUACGGGAGGCAGCAGUGAGGAAUAUUGGUCAAUGGACGAGAGUCUGAACCAGCCAAGUAGCGUGAAGGAUGAAGGUCCUACGGAUUGUAAACUUCUUUUAUAAGGGAAUAAACCCUCCCACGUGUGGGAGCUUGUAUGUACCUUAUGAAUAAGCAUCGGCUAACUCCGUGCCAGCAGCCGCGGUAAUACGGAGGAUGCGAGCGUUAUCCGGAUUUAUUGGGUUUAAAGGGAGCGCAGACGGGUCGUUAAGUCAGCUGUGAAAGUUUGGGGCUCAACCUUAAAAUUGCAGUUGAUACUGGCGUCCUUGAGUGCGGUUGAGGUGUGCGGAAUUCGUGGUGUAGCGGUGAAAUGCUUAGAUAUCACGAAGAACUCCGAUUG